AACGUAGGUGACGAGCGUUAUCCGGAUUUACUGGGCGUAAAGCGCGUUCAGGCGGUUUGGCAAGUCGGGCAUGAAAUCUCCUGGCUCAACCAGGAGAGGCUGUCCGAUACUUCCAGACUUGAGGGCAGUAGAGGGUGGUGGAAUUCCGGGUGUAGUGGUGAAAUGCGUAGAUAUCAGGAGGAACACCGGUGGCGAAAGCGGCUCACUGGACCGUAACUGACGCUGAGGUGCGAAAGCUAGGGGAGCAAACGGG
rnacentral:rRNA from 1 species